AUGGGUUCCAUCAGCCAUCAGCCCUCUCAUGCCCAAACACAUUUGAGACAUGCUGGUAUGGAUGGCUGGUCAUAUAAUUUUUUUAGCUUAAUGCCUCUAACAGGUGAAGUAAUCAGUCUACAGUACAUCAGCUAUCAUGGAGCUGGAAGCGUUGGCUCCACCCCACCCCUUACUGAUAACCCAAAAUCUGGUCCCAAAAAAUCUGAUCAAAUGAUUUAUCACAUUGUCUGCGGCUGCAACAUUGCAUGCAGAGCACUCAUGGCCUUGUCUCCUGUAGUCCUGCCCACUACCUUUUCUGGUAGCUACACAUAA
rnacentral:rRNA from 1 species